AUGAUUCCUCCAUUCCACCAAAGCAACUACAACUGUCGAAUGUACCUAAUGAUUCUGACGUCUGUCAUCAUCAUACAGUUGGGGGCGGCAAAUGAACGGCGUGGACAUGGAACAAAUGGUUCGUCAGAAUGUGACCACACAAUUAUUCAGAUCAAUUUUGCAUGUCUAACAGAGGGGACACCCAUUCCAAAUACUCCCAACACAAAACGAGAAUAUAUAUUUGAAAAAGAAGCUGAAAAUAGAACUCUCACUAAACAUUUCCAAAACAAUGUUCAAAACAAUACGAACAGUAUACUUGCUUCUUCGACUCUGAAUGAGAAUAAAACCUGCAAUUUCAUAGAGGAUGGACAGACGGGAUAUAUUGUUGAGAAAUGUAAUGACUUAAGUGGAAAUGCCUCUAACUCUUCUGUAGAAGGAAUUUCUUCUGAAAACCUGUUCGAUGAAACUUUGAUGUCCAUGGGACCUUUUGUUGUAGGGGGCGCUGUAAUGGUUUUAAAUGUGUUGGUUAUCAUUGUUGUGUAUUCGACACCAAAACUUCGGCAAAACCCAAACCUAGACCUUGUUUUGUCAACUUCUGUGACAGAUUUUCUUUUUGGGUUUAGUACAUUCUUCAACGCAAUGUUUAUUCUAAAAAGACGUUACUUGAACACGUCCAUAUCAAAAGUUUCUAACAGCAUUCUUCAUAGCAAACGCCGGACAUAUUUAAAAUCGGUGAAGUCAGUCGGCAUAUUACUUGUAGUAAUGUUGAUGAUUUUUCUGGUCCACUUCUGGUGCGCAUUGCAGUGGGUAUAG
rnacentral:sRNA from 1 species